GCUGGCGGCGNGGUCAAUACAUGCGGGAGGNCUGAAGCUUAGCAGCAAUGUUGAGUGGAGGUGGCGCAUGGGCUGAGUAACACGUAGGUAAUCUGCCUUUGGGUCUGACAUAACCCACCGAAAGGUGAGCUAAUAUCAGAUGAUGCAGCGGCUCGACAUCGAGACAGUUGUUAAACCUUAGGGGCCCAGAGAUGAGCCUGCGUCUGAUUAGGUAGUUGGCGGGGUAAUGGCCCACCAAGCCUUCGAUCAGUAGCUGGUCUGAGAGGAUGAUCAUCCUCACUGGAACUGAGACACGGUCCAAACUCCUACUGGAGGCAGCAAUGGG
rnacentral:rRNA from 1 species